rnacentral:misc_RNA from 1 species
GAUGAAGAACGUGGCGAAAUGCGAUAAGUAGUGUGAAUUGCAGAAUUCAGUGAAUCAUCGAAUCUUUGAACGCACAUUGCGCCCCUUGGUAUUCCAUGGGGCAUGCCUGUUCGAGCGUCAUUUGUACCUUCAAGCUUUGCUUGGUGUUGGGUGUUUGUCCCUCGGGACUCGCCUUAAAGUCAUUGGCAGCCAGUGUUUUGGUUUUGAAGCGCAGCACAAGUCGCGAUUCAAGGCUAUCCGCCCGCUUCCACAAGCCUUUUUCACUUUUGACCUCGGAUCAGGUAGGGAUACCCGCUGAAAUUAAGCAUAUCAAUAAGCGGAGGA